AUAGCCUCCAUCACGGCGUAUGGGUCACAGUUGGCAGCGGGACGGCGGUCCUCAAAGUAGCCACAGCCAUCUUUUCCAACAUGCUGGGGGAUGCGGAUGCUGGCGUUACGGUUGUCGAUGCCAGCAGAGAACUCGUGGAUGCUGGAGGUCUCGUGGGAGCCAGUCAGGCGGCGGGAGUUGUCGGCGCCCCCUUUAGGGUCGUACAUGCGGAUGUGAUACGAGUGUCGCUUGCUCAGCUUCUCGAUGGCCUCCUCGAUAUGCCUGGAAACAAAAUGGCACAUCACCUCGGGAUGGCAUAACCCACCCCACCCUGCCACAAGGGCGGCACACUUACUGAAGUCCCCC